AGAUCAUCAUUGUGACUUGCAAGCAACUUACUGUGCUUUGGUGCUAAACUAUCUGAAUUUCUAAUUCAAGAUUGAAAGAUUUUUGGAUACAGUCAAGUACUUGUGAAGUCGGUGCGUGAGUCAAGAUGAAAUUGACCACUCCAAGAGAUUGAAGAGAAUGCUUUGUAUUUCAAUUUAGUAAGACCUUGGCCAGGACAAUCCUUAUGAGGAGUCACAG
rnacentral:lncRNA from 1 species